GAUGAACGCUGACAGAAUGCUUAACACAUCAGCAAUUGAUUGGUGGCGGACGGGUGAGUAACGCGUAAAGAACUUGCCUCACAGGUAGGGACAACAUUUGGAAACGAAUGCUAAUACCUAAUACUGUGCGAGGGCUUUGCGUCCCAUUAGCUAGUUGGAGAGGUAACGGCCUACCAAGGCGAUGAUGGGUAGCCGGCCUGAGAGGGAGAUCGGCCACAAGGGGACCGGGACACGGCCCUUACGCAGACGGGCGGCAUCAGUGGGGAAUAUUGAACAAUGGACCAAAGUGUGAUGCAGAAAUUCUGUUUGCACAAUGAAGUUUUCGGAAUGUAAAGUGCUUUCAGUUGGUAAGCGGUACCAACAGAAGAAGUGACGGCUAAAUACGUGCCAGCAGCCGCGGUAAUAC
rnacentral:rRNA from 1 species